rnacentral:rRNA from 1 species
UGGGGAAUAUUGGACAAUGGGGGGAACCCUGAUCCAGCCAUGCCGCGUGUGUGAAGAAGGCCUUAUGGUUGUAAAGCACUUUAAGCGAGGAGGAGGGUACUGGUAUUAAUACUACCAGGUACUGGACGUUACUCGCAGAAUAAGCACCGGCUAACUCUGUGCCAGCAGCCGCGGUAAUACAGAGGGUGCGAGCGUUAAUCGGAUUUACUGGGCGUAAAGCGUGCGUAGGCGGCUAAUUGAGUCGGAUGUGAAAUCCCCGAGCUUAACUUGGGAAUUGCAUUCGAUACUGGUUAGCUAGAGUGUGGGAGAGGAUGGUAGAAUACCAGGUGUAGCGGUGAAAUGCGUAGAGAUCUGGAGGAAUACCGAUGGCGAAGACAGCCAUCUGGCCUAACACUGACGCUGAGGUACGAAAGCAUGGGGAGCAAACAGG